rnacentral:rRNA from 1 species
UACAGAGGGUGCAAGCGUUAUCCGGAUUCACUGGGUUUAAAGGGUGCGUAGGCGGGUUGGUAAGUCCGUGGUGAAAUCUCCGAGCUUAACUCGGAAACUGCCGUGGAUACUAUCAAUCUUGAAUAUCGUGGAGGUAAGCGGAAUAUGUCAUGUAGCGGUGAAAUGCUUAGAUAUGACAUAGAACACCAAUUGCGGAGGCAGCUUACUAGACGAUCAUUGACGCUGAGGCACGAAAGCGUGGGGAGCAAACAGG